GAUCAUGGCUCAGGAUGAACGCUAGCUACAGGCUUAACACAUGCAAGUCGAGGGGCAGCAUGAACUUAGCUUGCUAAGUUUGAUGGCGACCGGCGCACGGGUGAGUAACACGUAUCCAACCUGCCAGGGUGACUCGGGGAUAGCCUUUCGAAAGAAAGAUUAAUACCCGAUGGCAUAGUUCUUCCGCAUGGUAGAACUAUUAAAGAAUUUCGGUCAUCGAUGGGGAUGCGUUCCAUUAGGUUGUUGGCGGGGUAACGGCCCACCAAGCCUUCGAUGGAUAGGGGUUCUGAGAGGAAGGUCCCCCACAUUGGAACUGAGACACGGUCCAAACUCCUACGGGAGGCAGCAGUGAGGAAUAUUGGUCAAUGGACGAGAGUCUGAACCAGCCAAGUAGCGUGCAGGAUGACGGCCCUAUGGGUUGUAAACUGCUUUUAUAAGGGAAUAAAGUGAGUCUCGUGAGACUUUUUGCAUGUACCUUAUGAAUAAGGACCGGCUAAUUCCGUG
rnacentral:rRNA from 1 species